AGCUUUGCGCAGUGGCAGUGUUGUAGCCAAUGAGGUUUAUCCAAGGUGUGAUUAUUGCUAAUUGAAAACUUUUCCCAAUACCCCGCCAUGAUGACUUGCAAUAUAGUCAGCACUGGCAAUUGUUGGCAAUCCCUAUGGGGA
rnacentral:snRNA from 1 species